ACCAAGAUCACUCUUGAAGUGGACCUCCUUGACACAAGUACGGUACUCUCGAUGUUUCCGCUAUCGGAGAUCGAAGCCAGGAAUCCGGCAGCAAAUUUGCUUUUGCAGUACAUCUGAAUCUGUCCAAAACACUCCUGCUCGUGUCUCUGCAGAGGAACAAAUAGAAUAGGCAAGUUUUAUGCAGAGUAAUCAUGUGACAUGAUCAGGCUGCUCCCUUUCCGCCUGUGUCCGCUUAGUCUGAGACAGACGCAGCAUAGUGAGUACUUUUCUUCCCACAGUCUCCAGAAGGACCUCUACCAACGUACAAGCAGACUUAUAGGGAACUACAGACGGGCAGAACGAUCUUAUGCUGCAAUGGCUCAGCAAGAUCACACUGUCCGCACAGAACGUGAGCACCUCGCUGGGCACAGAAAACACUGCACUCCCACUGGUGUAUCUUUUUGGGGCGGCCUUGCACAUGGGCGCUGAUGAAGGGCAUGGCCAGCAGGUGAUCAUGCGGGAGGCCUGGUGCUGGGCAUAGAGAGCAGCUGCGAUGACACCGGUGUGGCGGUGGUUCGAGCUUCUGACGGCGCCAUUCUAGGACAAGCCAUCGCC
rnacentral:lncRNA from 1 species